rnacentral:rRNA from 1 species
UACGAAGGGGGCUAGCGUUGUUCGGAAUUACUGGGCGUAAAGCGCACGUAGGCGGAUUGUUAAGUCGGGGGUGAAAUCCUGAGGCUCAACCUCAGAACUGCCUUCGAUACUGGCAAUCUCGAGUCCGGAAGAGGUUGGUGGAACAGCUAGUGUAGAGGUGAAAUUCGUAGAUAUCGGGAGGAACACCAGUGGCGAAGGCGACUACCUGGCCUAUUCUUGACGCUGAGGCGCGAAAGCUAGGGGAGCAAACGGG